GUAUUUUUCGAAACAAGGAAUUUUUUGAAAGCUUUGUACCAGCGAUCUUUAAAGGUGUGUUCCGUUAGACCAAUAUAAUUAAGACCACUCUCCUGUGGUGAUGUUUUUACAUUGCAGACGUAAAUUAUAUUUUUACUGAGACACAUACCUUGCAAAGGACAUUGAGAAGGUUGCCGGCAGUUACAUGUUGGAACAAUUGUGUUGGAAACAUUAGAUAAUAUUUUUUUAUUGUGUGAAUUAAUAAUAUUGGUGAUGUUAGGAAGACAGCUAUAACUAACUUUUAAAUUAUUCUUAUUAAAAAUUUUUCGAAACUUAUGUGUUUUUGGAAAAUGCUUUUCAAUUAAAUUUAGAAAAUUUUUUGCGAUGUUGGUUUUUACAUUUUGUGAAAACGGAGGAUUAAACCAAAUAAUGUUUCGUGAUCUUGAUUUUGGUUUUGAUGAGUUAUUUAUGUGCUCCCAGAAAUCCAUACGGUCUUAUUACAGAGCACCGCUGGAAAGCAUUUAACAGAAAAUUCACGCCUCCUUCCGUUCCAAUGUCACUUGUCGGGCUGGAGCAAGCAUCAAACCUCGGACCUCUGUGUUCUGAACUAGAAUUCUAGCCACUGCGCCACGGCUGCUCGAGUUUUUUUUGUAAUGGUAACCCGAGAACGGCUGCUCUACGGACUUUUGUUCUGUAAAUGGCAACCCGAGAACUUUCCGACAUAUUAAUAGUGGCUAGUCAUCGGCGCGCCACUUUUAGCGGCUGCCACUAAAGGUCCACUUUCAAACCGAUGAGCCAAACCACACUGGCCCGCAAAUGACUAUAUAGGUCCACCGAAAUUGGUUUUUUACAACUUUAUAAACUAUUGUUACAAUUCCUUCUCGUGACAUAAUAUAUAGUCAUAGAGAAAACAAAAAAUAAAUGUAUACAUAUAUAAACCGUUAAAAUUUAUUAUCAAACACACUGUGUUAAAUACAAA